rnacentral:lncRNA from 1 species
AGUUUCCAGGCACCAGCUGCCAUGGUCCAUUCUCUAAGCUGCUGCGGUUGUACUGGCAGCUGUAUCAGCCUAAGACAGGCAGACAUCAACAGAAAAGCAAACCAGAGAAGUAAAGGCACUUGCUCAAGAAGCCAGAGAGCUCAGGAGAGUUGUGCAAAGACCCACAAAAAAAUCACAAAUCCUCUGAGUUGGAUCAUGAAAUCAUAUAUCUAGAGUUGGAAGAGACCUCAGAAACCAUCUCAUCUAUUUCCUACUGCAUCGUGUUGCUGAUGAAAGAACUAAAGUCAAGUGACUUGCCUAAGAUCACACAGGUAGUAAAUUUCAGAGGUGGAUUUUAAACCCAUGUCCUUUCAUUCCAGAGACAGGAUUCUUUCCAUUAGAUGACAUCAACUGUGUCUGGUCUAUUAAGCAGCUUACCAUCUCUCUCUCUCUCUCUGGCUGCUUCAGGAUAAAGAAAUGGAUGGAAUGAGGAUAUAAUGAAAUAGAACCAAUGCUAAGGACAAAGUUCAUUCCUCCCUCUAUUCAUAGUCUCAUUGGCUCACUGACUUGGAACAACUGGCAGACCCAAAGCUCAUCUACUCCAACCCCCUCAUUUUCACGAUGAGGAAACAAAUUAAGUGAUUUUCCAAAGGCCACAAGGGUAAUAUACAAUAGAGGUGUGAUAUGAAUUUGGUUUUUCAGAUUGCAAAUUCAGUACUAUCUUCCCCUGUAUCACACUAACUGCUCCAUGGGACAAUAGGAAAGAUAGGUUCAC